AUACGGAGGGUGCAAGCGUUACUCGGAAUCACUGGGCGUAAAGCGCGCGCAGGCGGGCUGAUAAGUUGGAUGUGAAAGCCUACGGCUCAACCGUAGCACUGCAUCCAAAACUGUCAGUCUAGAGUCUGGGAGGGGAAGAUGGAAUUAGUUGUGUAGGGGUAAAAUCCGUAGAGAUAACUAGGAAUACCAAAAGCGAAGGCGAUCUUCUGGAACAGUACUGACGCUGAGGCGCGAAAGCGUGGGGAGCAAACAGGAUUAGAUACCCUAGUAGUCC
rnacentral:rRNA from 1 species